ACGCAAUUGGUGUAGUGGUUAGCACACCUGCUUCCCAAGCUGGAGACAUGGGUUCGAUUCCCGUAUUACGUA
rfam:Ascoidea rubescens DSM 1968 unplaced genomic scaffold ASCRTscaffold_13, whole genome shotgun sequence.